GAUCAUGGCUCAGGAUGAACGCUAGCUACAGGCUUAACACAUGCAAGUCGAGGGGAAACGACAUCGAAAGCUUGCUUUUGAUGGGCGUCGACCGGCGCACGGGUGAGUAACGCGUAUCCAACCUGCCCAUCACUUGGGGAUAACCUUGCGAAAGUAAGACUAAUACCCAAUGACGUCUCUAGACGACAUCUGAAAGGGAUUAAAGAUUUAUCGGUGAUGGAUGGGGAUGCGUCUGAUUAGCUUGUUGGCGGGGUAACGGCCCACCAAGGCGACGAUCAGUAGGGGUUCUGAGAGGAAGGUCCCCCACAUUGGAACUGAGACACGGUCCAAACUCCUACGGGAGGCAGCAGUGAGGAAUAUUGGUCAAUGGACGAGAGUCUGAACCAGCCAAGUAGCGUGCAGGAUGACGGCCCUAUGGGUUGUAAACUGCUUUUAUAAGGGAAUAAAGUUAGUCUCGUGAGACUUUUUGCAUGUACCUUAUGAAUAAGGACCGGCUAAUUCCGUG
rnacentral:rRNA from 1 species